UGGAGCUGUCCCUCCCUCCAGUCCAAUAUAAACUCUUCCUCGUCUCUUCCUUGUCUCUUCCGCUCCACCCCCUCCCCCUCUACUUCUCUGCUCCUUUCGUUUUUCGCCGAAUCGAUAACCGUAUUUUUCCGAUGGAGAAUACUUUGAAGCCAAUGGACGCGGAGCAGCUGAGGGAGUACGGCCAUAAGAUGGUUGAUUUCAUCGCCGAUUACUACAAAAGCAUCGAGUCCUUUCCGGUUCUCAGCCAAGUCAAGCCUGGAUAUCUUAAGGAGCUUCUGCCAGAUUCAGCUCCUAAUCAUCCUGAAAGUUUGCAAGAUGUCUUUGAGGAUAUCCGUCAGAAGAUAAUACCAGGCAUAACCCAUUGGCAGAGCCCUGAAUAUUUUGCCUACUAUCCCUCUAAUAGCAGCACAGCUGGAUUCUUAGGAGAGAUGCUCAGUGCUGGUUUUAAUAUUGUGGGUUUCAGUUGGGUCACCUCUCCAGCUGCAACAGAACUUGAAGUGAUUGUUUUAGAUUGGCUCGCUAAAAUGCUGAAGCUGCCUGACCAGUUCUUUUCAGCAGGGCAGGGUGGGGGAGUAAUCCAAGGUACAGCUAGUGAAGCAGUUCUUGUUGUCUUGUUGGCUGCCCGUGAUAAAAUUUUGAGGAAGGUUGGGAAAAAGUCUCUUGAAAAAUUGGUAGUUUAUGCUUCUGAUCAAACACACUCUGCUCUGCAAAAGGCAUGCCAGAUUGCAGGGAUUGUUCAGGACAACUUUAGAGUGCUGAAGGCUGAUAGAAAUUCAAACUAUUCUCUUUGUCCUGAAGUAGCUUUGGAAGCAAUCUCUAAUGACUUAUCAGCAGGCUUGAUACCAUUUUUCCUUUGUGCUACAGUUGGCACUACGUCUUCAGCGGCUGUGGAUCCUUUGUCUGAGUUAGGUAAGUUAUCCAAGGCCUAUGGCAUGUGGUUCCAUGUUGAUGCUGCAUAUGCUGGCAGUGCAUGUAUUUGUCCAGAGUACCGUCAUUAUAUUGAUGGUGUGGAAGAAGCAGAUUCAUUUGGCAUGAAUGCACACAAAUGGUUUCUUACAAAUUUUGACUGUUCAUUGCUCUGGGUAAAGGACCAACGACCAUUGGUUCAAUCACUGUCGACUAAUCCUGAGUUUCUGAAAAACAAGGCCUCCCAAGAAAAUGCUGUUGUGGAUUUCAAAGAUUGGCAAAUUCCUCUUGGACGCCGUUUCAGAUCAUUAAAGCUGUGGAUGGUUUUGAGGCUAUAUGGUUUGGAGAACCUACAAAGCUACAUUAGGAAUCACAUAAAUCUGGCCGAACAAUUUGAACAACUAAUCAAAACUGAUUCUCGGUUUGAGGUAUGGCAGAUGACAUCUUGGAUACAGGAUGAUAUUUUUCCAAGGUUAUGAUCAGUUUCAAUGUUACUUUUGACUGUGAGAUUGACAUAUGGAAUGCAUUUGAAAGAGAAGUGAAACACUUCAUCCCAACAUUUCCACUGAAAUGAAGACCCAGCAGGUGGCUCUUGUGGCCCACUACUUUUUCACCCUUCAACUUUUAAGGGCUCUUCUAGAGGAAGUAGGCGCGGCUUUGGUAGUUAGAUGUUUCUUGAUCUUGUGAGCUGACAUUCUAGUUAAGAAAUGCAUGUCUGUGUAUGUUUUUGUUUGUGCUUUGUGUUAUAUCUUUCACAACUUACAGGUACAAGAAUGCUUCUCCCUAGACAUAUACAUUACAUAACUUCAAAACUAUUACCAUGAAGAACUUCAUGCCUAGUCCAGCAGAUCCUAGCUUACUAACAAUUCAUGAUAAUACUACUUCUGUUGUUAUGUUGCUGAAAGUAUCCAAAAUUCCAAAUACUUAUUCAUAAUUCUCAUCCUCAUUAGUUAUGGUUUUCCAUCUCUUUAUAGACUCUUCAAAAAGAUUCUAGCACCUACCUAAGGUAUCUUUAGAUUUUAUUCUGCAUGGUGCAUUCAUAUGCCAUCUAACAUGGUUCUUUACCACCUUGUCCUCAAUUGAUGUAGCUUCUACUUUUCUACAAUACAUGUUUCUUGCUCCAACCUUCCUAACUUUCCACAUAUUCAUCUCAACAAAUUCAAACUUAUCAUGUUCACCUUAUUUGCUAGGGCUAUCUUUAUUCUAAAAAAUACCAUAAAAUACUUUGUCCUUGCCACUUGAUAAGUUUUUCCUUGAAGUUGUCAAGACAGCUAAAAAGUACCUCUUCAUCUUAUGGUCAUUUUGUUAGCUAUAACUUUGUUAUUCCACUCUUUUUAUAAUGUAUCUACAAUAACAAAAUUGUUCAUAUUUUGGCAUCUUUUGCUGCCAAUUUUUCUUGUGUUUCAUUUUCAAUUCCAUACACACUUAACUUCUUCAUCCACUUUGUUUUUACUCUACUAACUUCUGAACCUUUAUCCUUUAGGUUCUUGUAACAAAAUAUCAUAUACAAAGAACAUGAAUCUCAUCAAUCUUUUGACAUAAUAGGGAUAAGUUAUUUUAUGAAUAACAAGUGAGGGCCUGAGCUAGUAAGUUAGUCCCAUAUUGGUUGUGUUUUGAGGAGAUCUUGGGUACUUAUACAAGGCCAAGAAACCCAAAUAGAACAUUUGUGCUAGCGUUUUUCGAUGAGGUCCUAGUUUGGUACAAAUGGUAUCAAAGUGAACCCGGUCCAUGGCCGAUAUGUGACUAGGGGAUAUUGUAGCACGGGGUCCUAUUAGGGAUGACCACGGGCCAAUGGUGGUGUUUGUGACUGGAUUUGAUUGAAUUUGAACCUUUAGUUUAGCGAGGAAGUGGAAGUAUGUAAGGACCUAUGCGAGCGUGUUUCUUAGUGCCAUAUUGGUUGUGAGCUUAGGAGAACUUGGGUACUUAUACAAUGCCAAGGAACUCAAAUAAAAUCUUUUGGUUAGUCUUUUUAACAUAACAUGUGGUGCGGACACCAGUGCCAGAUCGCCUGUCACUCGAGUCUACAGUCGCCGCAGGAGAAUGGUUCUGCCAGUUUCAUUGUGGGUGGAGUGAAUUUAUUUUAUUUGGGCUUAUUAGGGUAUUUUGUUAUUUGAUAACUUUUAGGGUUUAUUUAAAUAUUUCAUUAUUUUGAGGGUCUUUUGUGAGACCAGUUUCUUUUUAGGAGGUCUUUUGCAUUUUUUGGGUUUUAUAAAUAUAUUGGACCGUACAUGUUUAGGGUAUGCUAUGAAUAAAAAUUCUGAAUUCCUUUCUUUAGCACUGGCGUGUGAAACCCUGAGCGGGGCUAGAUGCGAAGCGUAGUUCUUCUUCCUCUUCCUUCCUCCUCUCCUUUCUUCCCUAUUUUUCCUUCUUUUCGUUCUCUCUUUCUUUCUUUCCCUGCUGUCCGGCAUCAACAUGAACAUAAAUGAGCUUAAGUUUAACCCGUUAUAUAAUCAUGUGAUCUCUGGAUACUCACCUCUUUAGAGCUAUCUUUGAUGCUUGUCAAUGUCUGAGUAUAUAUAUAUCCUGAAUGAUUUUGAAGUAUUUUCUAUAGUAUACACUUUCCAUAGUUUUUUUUUGGUGAGAAAAUAACUUUCAUUUUUUAUCUUUGUAGCAUCAAGCCUAGUAGUUUGCUAAAUUUGUUGACAUCCUUUUUUUCUUUUUUUUUUUUUUGCUUCACCACCAACCAUAACUUCAUAGCCUCCUCAUUAGUUUAAUUCUAAAGAAGUUUGUUCAAAUUUGGUGCCGGUUCUCUUCUUAUAGGUGGGUACAAAAAUACUUCCAUAGUCAUUUGUAAUGUCUGUGUAGCUUGAAGAUGAUUUGCUUUAUUCAAUGGAUGAUUAUCAUAUCAAGUUUGGUGAGAAAAGAGUGAAGCAAAAAAAUUGAAGAGAGGUAAUUGUUUUUCCUAUCUCUAAUGAACUACUCGAAUUGUUAGGUGAAAUAGAUUUUUAUGUUAUUAUUACUAUAAAAUUUAGUUCAAGUGUUAUAUUACAGUUACGAGGCAUUUAAGUAUUCCAUUGUGCACCUCUAGGAAAUAUAACACCAAGACACAUGUUCAAUAUGAAGAUAUAGACAAAUUUUUGAUGUUGGAUACAAAGUUAACUACUUAAUAGUUAAUAUUGCUAAACCUAAUUUCCUACAAUAUUAUAUUAUCCUGCACAAAAUGUUAUGGUGUUUCUGUAGCGUUAUAUCUGUAAUGGAGCACAAGCUCUUUUCAACUUAUUGACAUUAAUUAUUCUAAAGCAAUUUGGCACAAAUAUUGGCCAAUUGAUUUACUGUAUAAUCAAGGUUUGCCGUACCGACUGUACCGAUAUAUCGGUGCGGUCCGAUACUGGUACGGUACUAGUACCAAACUGAGCCGAACCAGUACUAUACUAAAAGUGCCACAGCGCUGUCUUCCAUGAAGAAUACCCCGUACCGGUGCAAACCGGCUCGGCUGGCACCGAUACGGAUAUGCACCGGUGCGAACCGACCAGUAUGGGUAUGUAUUGGUGCGAACCGAGCCGGUUUGCACCGGUACAGGCCAUGAACCGAUCGAUUCCGACCCAGAUUGGGUUGGAACCGAUUUCAAUAGCCGUACCGUACCGGUGCUUGUCGGUACUGAUACGGUAUGGGCUGAACCGACUGGUACAGUAAUACAAUCAUGAUGUGCUGAACCAACCGGUAUCGGUCGGUUCAGCAGACCAUGAUUGUAUUACUAUAAAAUUUUUGUUAGCGGUCGGUUCAACAGACCAUGACUGUAUUACUAUAAAUUUUUUGCAUCCCUGCCUUUUUUUUGUUUUUUUUAUAUAAAGCAUUAAUCAUGAUCAUAUCCUUUUCAUCUUCAUCUCCAUUUUUAUUUCUUCUCACUGAUAUGGUACGAUUACCGUCAUGGUUGUCUCUCUAGAAUAAACAAGGUUAUUUCUUUUAUUAACUUUUCUUUAAUUUUUUACUUUUUUAAUGACUUGCGAGCUUCAUAGUGGUCCAUAGUUAAUUGAAAAUAAGUAGCAUUUUCAUUUCUCACCCUUAUUUUUAUAAACAUACUAUAAUGCUUCUUGACGCUUUCAUUAUCCUAAUGUUCUUAUCGAAAGACUAGUUGAUCAAGUAUUUUUUUCCCCAUAAUAUGUGAAAGACAACAUUUUUCCUUGAUACAUUCUUUUCACAGGUUGUUGUUAUAUUAUAGUGUUCAUUGUCC